UACGGAGGGUGCAAGCGUUAUCCGGAUUCACUGGGUUUAAAGGGUGCGUAGGCGGGCAGGUAAGUCCGUGGUGAAAUCUCUGAGCUUAACUCAGAAACUGCCAUGGAUACUAUUUGUCUUGAAUAUUGUGGAGGUAAGCGGAAUAUGUCAUGUAGCGGUGAAAUGCUUAGAUAUGACAUAGAACACCAAUUGCGAAGGCAGCUUACUACACAGUUAUUGACGCUGAGGCACGAAAACGUGGGGAUCAAACAGG
rnacentral:rRNA from 1 species